rnacentral:lncRNA from 1 species
UGGGAUCUCAUUAAUGCCCCAAUGGGCGGUACAACAUAUGUUGAGUUGGUUUACAUAAACAUCAAAAGACAUCUAAGAUCAUGUAUUAAAAGGGAUAACAGUAUUCUAUGGUCAAGCACACCUCUAUCAUCCAUAAGCCUCAUUACAUUACAUGUCUAAACUGUACUUUUACAUAACAUCGAAUACAUUUAUCAUGUCCACACUAUUUAGUACAUAGACGAGACUUCAAUACUCUUGCUGACCUCCUGGUCUACCCUGUACCUGCAAACCUGGGGAAUUAGGGAGAGGGGUGAGCUACUAGAGCCUAGUGAGCAGAAUAUUAAAACAUUCAAAACAUAUAAUAACAUGGAAUGCAUCACAUCACAGCUAAUCACAUCAAGGAUGAAGUUGUCACCAAUAGUCCUCUACAUGGUCCAACUGUGCCAGAACGUAGAAUGGGUCCUGGUCUUUCUCUUACAUAGCAUAACAUAAUCAUUCCAAUGUGCCAGAACGUAGAAUGGGUCCUGGUCUUUCUCUUACAUAGUGCCAGCAAACGUAGAAUGGGUCCCACUGGUCUUACAUUCCGUACCGUACAUAUCACAUCGUCACAUCAUAGAUCGAGGGCUAUGGAUCAUCCAACUUUCAUCCACAACAACAACAGUAGAGUAUGCAAUGCAACAUAUUCGUGAAUUCUAAUGCAACAACCUAGUAUACUCAUGGCAUUAAUGAUGCGUGAAUCAUGCUAAAAUGUCCAUUUAUUUGCUUUAAAAACGUAAUGAGUUAUUCCACUCACCUCUGGAUAGCUCUGACCAGACACUG